rnacentral:lncRNA from 1 species
UGACGUAUAAUGUAGUGGACGGAUAUGAAGCCUCUUCAACAGCGACAAAAGGCUAUUGAUUUAACCAACGCGGUGGUUUGCUAGCAAACAAAACAGAAUAAUUGAAGCGUUUUAGACCAAUUUUGUGUAUAUUACUCUUCGUGUUUUGAACAUAAUUCUGUUUACCUAUCUACUAGCUCAUUUCAACGUAAUUUGCGAAAUUAGCAACAUUGAUACAGCAUUAGGCUAAUCUCCCGGAGCAUAAACUCACUAAGCAAGACAGAGAAAGAAACUCUCGUGAAAUUAGAGAAAUAAGCUUUCAGAAUGAAAAGGGAGGAAGAGGAGGCUAUCACAGUGAAAGAAGAGGAUGAGAUUACACUGAAAGAGGAAGAUGGGAAAGAGGUUGUCAGAGUGGAAGAGGAGGUAGAAGCUUUCAGAAUCAUAAAGGAGGAAGAUGAGAAUGUAGUGAAAGAAGAGGAAGAGGAGGCUAUCUCAAUUAAAGAGGAAGACGUCUUGGGAGUGAAAAAGGAGGAGGAGGAGACUGAAGAACUGAUUAACACCAGAGAGAGACAUGACUAUGGUGGAUCCUCUGCGGAGCCUCAACAACAUCCUGAUGUUGACGAGGCAGGGAAGAGUCUCUCCAGAUCAGAACACCAGAUGGACAACGCUAGCCUGCCCCCCUCCUCCCUCCCGGAGUCCCUGUGUCGUGCCUCUCCCGGUAGCACCUUACUGCUGGGUAUGAAGAGGUUGUCUGUGCUGCUGGUGGACUGCAGGAAAACAAUGGGGCUGAGAGGAACUUUGAGAGGAGGAGAAGAGAAGAAAGGAUCAGAUUUGACUCAUCAAAGUAAGUGCUGUAGAUUAGUUUCAACAAAUACAAUGAUUACUAGCCUGUUCAACCUCUCUUUCGUGUCGUCUGUGAUUCCCAAAGAUUGGAAAGCAGCAGUCCCCCCCUCUUCAAAGGGGAGGACACUCUUGACCCAAACUGCUACAGACCUAUAUCUAUCCUACCCUGCCUUUCUAGGGUCUUCGAAAGCCAAGUCAACAAACGGAUUGCCGACCAUUUCGAAU